UACGGAGGGUGCAAGCGUUAUCCGGAUUUACUGGGUUUAAAGGGUGCGUAGGUGGAUAGAUAAGUCAGCGGUGAAAUCUCCGGGCUUAACUCGGAAACUGCCAUUGAUACUAUUUGUCUUGAAUAUCCUGGAGGUGAGCGGAAUAUGUCAUGUAGCGGUGAAAUGCUUAGAUAUGACAUAGAACACCUAUUGCGAAGGCAGCUCACUACGGGAUUAUUGACACUGAGGCACGAAAGCGUGGGGAUCAAACAGG
rnacentral:rRNA from 1 species